GAAACACUGCGACCUCACUACAAAAGUACAGGCACACAGAAAACUGUGCCCUGCACUGAUGUCGGUGUUGGAACCUCAGCUGUGGCCUUCAAAGCAUCACAGCCAUUCCUAACGUCGACACCAGUAAAGAGGCCAAGUAAGAGACCUCGCUUGGAGGAGGAAGAGGACAACCCUUUUGAGGGAAGUUCAAGUAUGGAUUUCGGAGAACCACAGGAUUCUAGCUAUGAUCCCGAUGACUCAGUCACAGUCUUGACUGAAUCAGCAGAUGAGACAAUGGAAUCUUCCAACCCUGUUCAUAAGACACCCACAUAUAUUCUCUAUGAAAACUGCCUCCUGGAGCUGUUUGAGGUGUGCCCUGUGUCGGCGGGUGACAGAUGUGCAAACAAGAAGGGUUGGGACAUUCCUCUCUGUAGAACAGAAGUGCCCACACUGUCAGUUCUACAGAAAAUGGAAUAGUCAGCCUCUUCUUGGUAGCACUCCUGUUGGGAACAUCCAACUGUCAGCUGCAGUGUAUGCCA